GAAGUUGACCAGACAAUCGCUCUGAAAAAUUUUAAGAGAGGAAAGUCCGGACUCCAAAAGGACAAGACGCCAGAUAACAUCUGGGAGAUGAAAAUCUACGAAUAGUGCCACAGAAAAUAACCGCCUAAAAAUAAAAAUAGAAAAAUUUUUAUAAAUAAAAGGUAAGGGUGAAAAGGUGUGGUAAAAGCACACCGUAUAAUUGGAGACAGUUAUAGCAUAGGUAAACUCCGUCUGGAGCAAAGCUAAAUAUAGGUAAAAUAGUAUUGUCCAUACUUAAACCUGGGUAAGCUGCUAGAACUAAAAAGUAAUUUUUAGUCAAGAUUAAUGAUUGUCUAAUACAGAAUCCGGCUUAUAGGUCAACUUCAUUU
rnacentral:RNase_P_RNA from 1 species